GAGGAUUGAGCUCCAAGUCUUGCAUUCUCUCUCCCAUUUUCGAAAAUAUCAUAAGGAAAAAGAAGAAGAAAGAAAAGCUUAGUCUUCCUCUUGGAUCUAGAACUCCAUAGCCAUGUUCUCCACCAAGUUCUUCCACCCUAGGAUCUUCGGUGAAAAGUUUGAAGGAGAGGAUCACCAUCUUUCUACGGUUUAAAAAUCUUCUUGGGAGCAUUUCGAGGUUCAACACUUAUGUCUCUCUCUCUAUGCCCUAAAACUUCCACAUGCCCUUGAGGUGGUCAAAGUAUCACUUGACCUAUUGGUUCAUACGCCUAUUUUUCAAACAGGAGAUGGAGCUUUCUAUGAUAGGCUUGCAAAAUGCUGGAAAAUUUUCUCUUGUUAACUUCAAGCAAUGCCUCACACUUCAAAUUGGUCCGUAAUAACUUUUGAAAAUGAGACUAGAUAUUGUUUGAUAUAAGCUGGCAUAUUCUUAUGAGAAUAAGAGCUCCUACUGAAGGUUCUUGUGACCAUAUUGCUUCGGUAUAGAGGUUGAAGGUUGAAUCCAAGGACGAGAUGAGGGAAAGAGAUGAAGCAAGAAACCAGAUUCAGAAAGUAUUGACCAGCUUUUCUCAAGUGGUUCAAACAGCCUGUCUGAUACCCAGAACCAAUUAUGUCUCUUCCCCUUGAGUUGUUGUUCGAUCUAGUGUCAUUACUUGAGCUCUGGAGCAUGAACGGUUGUUGUUCUCUGGUCCGACAUCAGCGAUGGACAGUCUACUGAGUCUAGUAUGGAUUUUUUAUGUCCAUAGAUACAAAGAUGUCAAAUAUGGAUUUUUUUUUUUAUGUGAAAGUACUUUUUAGUUAUUUAUGUAAUUCAAAUAAUAUGUAGAAUUUUGUACUUGAAUAUUGUUUGAUGUUAUUAUUUGACAAAUAUUAUUAGAGCAAAUACCAAAA